rnacentral:rRNA from 1 species
AUUGAACGCUGGCGGGAUGCUUUACACAUGCAAGUCGAACGGCAGCACGGACUUCGGUCUGGUGGCGAGUGGCGAACGGGUGAGUAAUGUAUCGGAACGUGCCCAGUCGUGGGGGAUCACGUAGUGAAAAUUACGCUAAUACCGCAUACGAUCUAUGGAUGAAAGCGGGGGAUCGCAAGACCUCGCGCGAUUGGAGCGGCCGAUAUCAGAUUAGGUAGUUGGUGGGGUAAAGGCCCACCAAGCCAACGAUCUGUAGCUGGUCUGAGAGGACGACCAGCCACACUGGAACUGAGACACGGUCCAGACUCCUACGGGAGGCAGCAGUGGGGAAUUUUGGACAAUGGGCGAAAGCCUGAUCCAGCCAUUCCGCGUGCAGGAUGAAGGCCCUCGGGUUGUAAACUGCUUUUGUACAGAACGAAAAGGUUUCUACUAAUACUAGGAGCUCAUGACGGUACUGUAAGAAUAAGCACCGGCUAACUACGUGCCAGCAGCCGCCGUAA